GCAAGUCGAACGAACUCUGGUAUUGAUUGGUGCUUGCAUCAUGAUUUACAUUUGAGUGAGUGGCGAACUGGUGAGUAACACGUGGGAAACCUGCCCAGAAGCGGGGGAUAACACCUGGAAACAGAUGCUAAUACCGCAUAACAACUUGGACCGCAUGGUCCGAGUUUGAAAGAUGGCUUCGGCUAUCACUUUUGGAUGGUCCCGCGGCGUAUUAGCUAGAUGGUGGGGUAACGGCUCACCAUGGCAAUGAUACGUAGCCGACCUGAGAGGGUAAUCGGCCACAUUGGGACUGAGACACGGCCCAAACUCCUACGGGAGGCAGCAGUAGGGAAUCUUCCACAAUGGACGAAAGUCUGAUGGAGCAACGCCGCGUGAGUGAAGAAGGGUUUCGGCUCGUAAAACUCUGUUGUUAAAGAAGAACAUAUCUGAGAGUAACUGUUCAGGUAUUGACGGUAUUUAACCAGAAAGCCACGGCUAACUACGUGCCAGCAGCCGCGGUAAUACGUAGGUGGCAAGCGUUGUCCGGAUUUAUUGGGCGUAAAGCGAGCGCAGGCGGUUUUUUAAGUCUGAUGUGAAAGCCUUCGGCUCAACCGAAGAAGUGCAUCGGAAACUGGGAAACUUGAGUGCAGAAGAGGACAGUGGAACUCCAUGUGUAGCGGUGAAAUGCGUAGAUAUAUGGAAGAACACCAGUGGCGAAGGCGGCUGUCUGGUCUGUAACUGACGCUGAGGCUCGAAAGUAUGGGUAGCAAACAGGAUUAGAUACCCUGGUAGUCCAUACCGUAAACGAUGAAUGCUAAGUGUUGGAGGGUUUCCGCCCUUCAGUGCUGCAGCUAACGCAUUAAGCAUUCCGCCUGGGGAGUACGGCCGCAAGGCUGAAACUCAAAGGAAUUGACGGGGGCCCGCACAAGCGGUGGAGCAUGUGGUUUAAUUCGAAGCUACGCGAAGAACCUUACCAGGUCUUGACAUACUAUGCAAAUCUAAGAGAUUAGACGUUCCCUUCGGGGACAUGGAUACAGGUGGUGCAUGGUUGUCGUCAGCUCGUGUCGUGAGAUGUUGGGGUUAAGUCCCGCAACGAGCGCAACCCUUAUUAUCAGUUGCCAGCAUUAAGUUGGGCACUCUGGUGAGACUGCCGGUGACAAACCGGAGGAAGGUGGGGAUGACGUCAAAUCAUCAUGCCCCUUAUGACCUGGGCUACACACGUGCUACAAUGGAUGGUACAACGAGUUGCGAACUCGCGAGAGUAAGCUAAUCUCUUAAAGCCAUUCUCAGUUCGGAUUGUAGGCUGCAACUCGCCUACAUGAAGUCGGAAUCGCUAGUAAUCGCGGAUCAGCAUGCCGCGGUGAAUACGUUCCCGGGCCUUGUACACACCGCCCGUCACACCAUGAGAGUUUGUAACACCCAAAGUCGGUGGGGUAACCUUUUAGGAACCAG
rnacentral:rRNA from 2 species